CCUACGGGCGGCUGCAGUGGGGAAUAUUGGACAAUGGGGGCAACCCUGAUCCAGCCAUGCCGCGUGUGUGAAGAAGGCCCUCGGGUUGUAAAGCACUUUCAGUGAGGAAGAACGCCUGGUGGUUAAUACCCAUCAGGAAAGACAUCACUCACAGAAGAAGCACCGGCUAACUCCGUGCCAGCAGCCGCGGUAAUACGGAGGGUGCGAGCGUUAAUCGGAAUUACUGGGCGUAAAGCGCGCGUAGGUGGCUUGAUAAGCCGGUUGUGAAAGCCCCGGGCUCAACCUGGGAACGGCAUCCGGAACUGUCAAGCUAGAGUGCAGGAGAGGAAGGUAGAAUUCCCGGUGUAGCGGUGAAAUGCGUAGAGAUCGGGAGGAAUACCAGUGGCGAAGGCGGCCUUCUGGACUGACACUGAAACUGAGGUGCGAAAGCGUGGGUAGCAAACAGGAUUAGAUACCCGAGUAGUC
rnacentral:rRNA from 1 species